rnacentral:rRNA from 1 species
UGUGCGAAGGGCGGCUAACUGGAACGACCUUGACGUGAGGGACGAAAGCCCAGGGGCGCGACCGGAUUUAGAUACCCGGUAGUUCCUGGCCGUAAACGAUGUGACUUGGUGUUUGGAUGGGCUUCGAGCUGUUUCAGUGCCGAAGGGAAGCUGUUAAGUCCACCGCCUGGGAAGUACGGUCGCAAGACUGAACUUAAAGGAAUUGGCGGGGGAGCACCACAACGCGUGGAGCCCGCCGCGUUUUUGAUUUAUAACGCUGACGCGAUUCCAGAGAGGCAGCCGUAUGGUAGCCAGGUUGGUGUCCCUGCUUGACAAGCUGAGAGGAGGUGCAUGGCCGCCGUCAGCUCGUACCGUGAGGCGUCCUGUUAAGUCAGGCAACGAGCGAGACCCAA